rnacentral:lncRNA from 1 species
GCACUCUCUCUUUUUGAAAUGGUAGAUGUGGAACCCAUUACACACAAGAAGACUAGGAAAAGAUUCUCAACCCGAUGAUUAGGAUGCUGGACCCCUUUGAUCUGACUACAUUUGAAGAAUCUCACUUAUUUAUGAGAGGAGAACAAGAAAUCCAGAGUGAUGGAUCUCGGCUAAACAGUUUCAGAACUGGCUGGAGCUUGUGUGAGGAAAACACUGGCAAGGCUAGGAAAAGACUGGCAACUCUUGUCUCCAUCGCAUCCCCCACAGAAUCUCCCCUCAAGCCCACUGACUCCGGAAGAAAGAUACAAGGAAAACAGAGGCCGCACCUCAAGUCACAGUCUGUGCCGCACGCUUCAGUGACAGGUCCUGGCUGGGGCAGCCGGUCACAUCUUUGAUCAGAAACGGUUAGCUGAUCAGACUCCCUGGUGCAAACAAGUUUUCGUCUCCGCUCCCCUAAGCAAAGAGUAGGCACAUUAUUGCUGAGGAAAUAACCUGCUCUAAAUUACCAAGAUCAAGGACUGACUCUCCCACACUUACUAGCAAAGGCUAGGCAGUAUUUUCAAUCGAGUUGGCCGUAUGAUCUCUGCCACACUUAACUCAACCAGGACAGGACAAAACCAGCUGGCCAUAGACAGACUGCUAACAACUCGGAGUAUCCCGGCUUUAAUAAAACUGUAUUAAUAAAAAGAGGGUGGGGCUGAAUUUGACCCUGCUGCUAUAGUUUGCUGACGUUAAUUUAACAAAAAGAAACAAAACUAAUAAAAAUUAUGACCCGUAAAGCCACAUGAUAGAAAAUUAAAGUGGCAGUAUUGAUUCUGCGUGGCUUCACACAUACACUCAAACUUCUUAGAAGAAAAUGCAGUGUGACCUGACAUGACCUGAAUCUUAUAAAAUUCAACUUGACAACAGAAACAACCAGAAAGGUCUGAGUAAAAGAAGUGAGAAGAUGCAUGCAGCUAGAAAGGUUUUUGGAUUGUAUAUACAUAGCUGUUCUUAAAAAAAAAUCAGUAAACAAGUAGAUAAAUGAAACAGAGCCCCUCAUGCCUACGCCUCCCCCCUCCCCAUCCUCAAACCCAUAGAAGCUGGAAACCCUUGAGCAUACCUUGGCAGGGCUUGCUGCAUGCUUGCCACGGCCCGUGACUGUUCCAGUAAAAUUGCUGAGGUUUGUCCUCAAUGGGAAUAUUGAAUGAGUACCGCACAUCUGGGUUAUACAGCUUUCCCACGGACAACACCUGCAAUGUGUGGAGAGAUUGGGAAGAAGUCUGCUGGCCUGCAGUGCUAAGAGGAGAGAGCCACUGGCCACCAUCCCAGUGUUUACCUGAAGGAGAAGUUCUUCCUCGAUACGGUCCGUACAGUUCAGUCUUUCCACCACAUUGUCCGAUCCGCUGUACUCAAUGACGGCGCUCCCCACGCGGACCUCCCUUUUGGACAUGGAGACAACAAAGUCUCCAUUUAGCAGGAAUUCACCUUUACUGUUUGAUAAAGCUGUAGAUGGGAAAAGGGAAUUGGGUGAGGUGCUGCCAGUGACCAGCUGUGUUGAAAAUAGUUAGAUAGAUAGAUAGAUAGAUAGAUAGAUAGAUAGAUAGAUAGAUAAGAACAGCCUGAUUGGCAGAGGCUGGCAGAAGAGAAGACUUCAGGCUUGUCAGCCAGGCCAUGAUUCCACAGUCUUGGUUUCCAUGUGCUAGCUAUGUGACCUUGGGCCAUCAAUCCUUCUUGGUCUCAGUUUCUUUAUUUAUAAAUGGAGAUAAAGAAAACCACCUACCUAUGGUGGUUUCUAUGUAAACUAAGAGAAAUAUUAUAUAGAAGUCCUCAGUAUUCUGAAGUUAAUUAUACAACAGCAACAGUCGCAGGAUUAUAGACAGAGGCUGAGGUAUUAAAAUCUGAUACACACAUAUGCCGCUGUGUGUAUCAGACAACAGCAACAGCAACAGCAGAAAAGCAUUGUAUUUUAGUGGGCUAAAUUCACUGUUUCUCACUCUGGUCUCAAACUUGCAGCACUGCCCCAGCCUCUGCCUCCUGAGUGGUGGGGUUCAGAGCAGUAGCCACAAUGCCUGGGAUAACCAGAGAUUCUCUCUAAAAUGACUACAUUUCAGUUUGUCAUUGAACUGAAUCCUAAGAACGCAAUACCUUCAAGCACCUGAUUUGACUGGACAAUUUAUGUGAACAUAUCUCUGUGCAUCACUCUACUUUCCACUCCAACAGCCAGUGCAUGAUCUAAAUUAAAAUGUAAUUUGGUUAGGUAUAACACAGGAGAGAGAUACUUUCAUGCUUUUUAGAUUAACUUUCUAAAGAUGGAAAUCUCAGUGAGGGAUAGCAAGGUGGCUCAGCAGGGAAAGAGACCCGCUGCCAAGCCUUACAAACUGAGUUCAGUCCCCAGGAGCCACAUGGAAGGAGAGAACUUGUUCCCUCGAGUUGUCCUCUGACCUUCAUAUACAUACAGUGGCACGUGCAUGUCACUUAAAUUAAAUACAUAAAAUGUUAAAAAACAUAUGUAGCUUUUAAAACCUGGCGAGAUCACUUUUCUUUAGCACUUGCCAUACACUACCAUGGCCUCAUUUUAAGCCCGUCUUCUGCACCUGCAGCCCAUUCCCACAUGGCCAGCCACUCCACUCGUAAGAGGCAGCUUGCAGUGUACUGCAUAUCACACCUCUGUGAGGCUGCUCUGUGAAUGCAUGCCACACAUUUGUAGAUAUGGACGUACAAAUGAGAAAAGCACGAUUUACCAACCAGUAAGUUCAUUGACCAAGGCCAGAUAGCUUCUGUCUCCACAGCUUGUGAGACACUCAAAUUGCCCAAAGCAGAGAGCCAGCAAACAUUUGUCAAGAAGGUAAAUUCGCUCAUUCAUUCUUCCUCUUGUUUACAAAUAGAACCAAGAUACGCUCAGGCUAAGCUCUUUAACAGCUUGGUGUGUUUUGCUAAACUGCAGGAACCUUUUCGUACAGUUAAAACCACUUCACAGCUCACCUCUUUGAACCCUAAGACCCCAACCCUUAGUAGGCCAGUGAAAGAUGCUGUUAAGAGUGACUGAAGCUGACACCCCUGAGAAGAGGAUAAAACACUUCCAUCCUGAGACUUAUUUCCCUAGCUGGUGUGAACCUCAGAAAACCACAUCUCACUCACUCUUGGCCCCAGAAGCUGGAGACCUGCCAGCUGAGUGAGAUGCAGGGUUUCCAGUGGGUCACAGAGAAAUGUGAUUGUUCCCUUGGCGCCCUAGGGUGGUUCCAAAGUCAGAUCACUUGUACAUGAUAGCAUGAUGUACUGACGAUACCGUCAUAAGUCAUACACUAGCUACUCCAAACGGGAGAAUGAAGUGCCCCAUGCCAGAGUUAUAAAUUGAACAUCAAUCUGGCUUUGUUUUAAAGAACAUGGUCUCUUCUGUGUUAAUCCCCAAGUCUCUUCCUGUGGCUUCAGCUGCUUCUCUUGCUUCUAACAGAACUAGGGGAAGGCCGCUCCUCACUGCCUGUUUCUUAUGCCAGUUAGUGGUGAGUGCACAGCCAGACAAGAUCUCAAAUAAUGUAAAACCCUUCUCAAGAUUUGCUCCUAUAAAUGGUAUGUCCACAGACUUACACAAAGGUAUCAAUGAACUAAAACUCUAGUUUUCUCUUGUACUGCAUGGAUGAGUGAUUUCCCACAGCCAGAAUUAAAUCCAGGGCUAAGCAUCCCAGAGGCAAGUAAGUAUCACAAAAAUGGUUACAUCUCCUGAAGAGAGAGGAACAAGGCAGGGGCAGUGCAACAUGGUUUUAACCCAACAAGAGGGAUCCGCUUGGAAGGUGACCUUUGACUGGCAGGCUUUCUGCUUCAGUACCUCAGAGAAACAAACUCUUUCCCCAAAUCCAGAGUCCCCUGCUCCACCUCCUGCUAAUGAGAUUAGGGAAGCUAAUUUCCUGAGUUGCUGCUCCUCCGCCAUCAGAACUAGGCUGCUGCAGAGGUUCUACUAGAAAAGAAUUCCUCCUCAAAACACACAGGGAAAGUGGGAGACUUGACCAGUCUUCACACAGCUAUUGGGAAUAAGGAUGAAGGUUGCUUAGUAACAGAACGCAAUGACUGAAUUCAGCAGAACAGGGUGGUUGGCUGUAAAGUAUCUAAAGGGAUCUGCUAAUACAUAGCCCCUUGCUUCAAGCUAAGGGUGAAUAUGCACACACUCUAGCCUGGGUGACACCAGAUCCUCCUUACGAACCAGAGCUUCUUAAAGAGCCAUUGUGAGGCUCCCUCAGAGGUCUGUCUUCACACUCAGUGGGCUGUGACUUGCCAUCAAUGCUUGCACACUCCACAUUUGCUUUCAGAGAGGCUUGCCUUGGGCGUAGCAGUGGCUUGCCCAUACGGCCCGUUCCUGCUGACCCGUCCCCUUUAACUUUCUUCUCAUUCUUUCACGGGGAGAUUAAGAAAUGCCCAGGAAAGAAAAAAAGAUUGUCAGCAGGCUCUGCUCAACCGCCUCGCACGUGCUGGUUGCAAUCAACAGAACCGAGGCGGACAGUACUUGGACAGAAGUUAUUUUCCCAAGGAAAAUAGAAGAGAACCUUCUUCCUUUGGAACAGAGGGACGAAAGGAUUCAACAUGGUUUUUGGCUCUCAAGAAAUUAAUUUAUAAGGGACACUUCAUGCCAUGUUCUUUAACUUAAUUAGGAUGAACUCAGAACAUAAAAACCACUACAAGCUCGGAUUUAUAACUAAGUAUGUGGAGGAGGGAAAUGCCUGACAUAUUUCAUGCAGUUGUAGAAUGGGAAAUGUGGGAUUCCCCAAAAGUAACUUGAAGGUGGUUUCCAGAAGCCUGUUAAUUAUCUUAUUUUAAUUCAUGCAUGUGUGUGUAUCCAUCCCUGUGCAUAUGCAUGUUUAUAUGUCUGUCUGUGUCGCAGAACCUAAGGCCAAAUAAAUGUUCAAUUGUAAACACAUGGUUCAUAAUUGAGCUACAA